AACGAACGCUGGCGGCAGGCUUAACACAUGCAAGUCGAACGCCCCGCAAGGGGAGUGGCAGACGGGUGAGUAACGCGUGGGAAUCUACCCAGUUCUACGGAACAACAGAGGGAAACUUCUGCUAAUACCGUAUACGCCCUAAGGGGGAAAGAUUUAUCGGAAUUGGAUGAGCCCGCGUAAGAUUAGCUAGUUGGUGAGGUAAUGGCUCACCAAGCCUACGAUCCAUAGCUGGUCUGAGAGGAUGACCAGCCACACUGGGACUGAGACACGGCCCAGACUCCUACGGGAGGCAGCAGUAGGGAAUCUUGCGCAAUGGGCGAAAGCCUGACGCAGCCAUGCCGCGUGUAUGAUGAAGGUCUUAGGAUUGUAAAAUACUUUCACCGGGGAAGAUAAUGACGGUACCCGGAGAAGAAGCCCCGGCUAACUUCGUGCCAGCAGCCGCCGUAAGAC
rnacentral:rRNA from 1 species